AUACGGAGGGUGCAAGCGUUACUCGGAAUCACUGGGCGUAAAGCGCGCGCAGGCGGCUAUUUAAGUUGGAUGUGAAAGCCUACGGCUCAACCGUAGAACUGCAUCCAAAACUAUUUAGCUAGAGUGUGGGAGAGGAAGAUGGAAUUAGUUGUGUAGGGGUAAAAUCCGUAGAGAUAACUAGGAAUACCAAAAGCGAAGGCAAUCUUCUGGAACACUACUGACGCUGAGGCGUGAAAGCGUGGGGAGCAAACAGGAUUAGAAACCCUAGUAGUCC
rnacentral:rRNA from 1 species